AGAUGAAUGAAUAUAACCUGGUUUAGUGAUAAAAACAAACAUCCAUUAACCAGAUUAACCUGUUAAGAGUCAGAAAACAAAAACAAAAGCCUUUGUAUUAUAAAAUCUCAUUUUGCAGUCUAAAUUUCAAGGCAUUCAUUCAUCAGCUUUUUCAUUGAGGCAAAACAAAACAACUUUUCAACAAUUUAAUGUCUUCUAAUUUACCAGUGAAAUGAACAAUAAUUUAAAGUUGCCUGAUUAAAUUGAGGAAAUCUAUUCUGAAAAUGCCACUAAACAAGAUACAACAAGAUACUUAUGAAAAGGCAAGGAAAUGUGACAACAAAUAUACUGAAAAAAGGGUCGAGAUUCCAGACAAUGAAAUGAUAAUGAUGAAGAUGUAAAAAGAUGAUGAAAAGUGUUAAAGAUAUGAAAACGAUGGAUGAAGAUGAGAAGAAGAUGAAAGUGAUGGGAAAAGGGAUAAAAUUGUAAGAAAAGAAGGAAGGAAAUUGUCAUUAUACAAGUGCUUAUAAAGGGAAAUGUUACUGUAAGAGUUUAACGUUGAAAGCUUAAAUAUCUUCAGUGACAAGUUUAAAGGCUGCAUGAUAAACUAGGUAUUCAUUGACAUCAUCAUCAUCAUCAUCAUUUUCAUCAUCUUCUUUGUCCUCUGUGAGUAUAUUAUAUUCAACUCAAAUUUAGUUAUCGAUUGGCUUUGGUUGUCUUCAUGCUGCCUUUCACUAACCAAGUCACCUUUUGUUUUUAUCAUUCCUCUUCAUCUAUCUUUUCAACCUUUUUUUCCCCUGUUUCCCUUUUCUCUUCAUCAUUACAUUCCCCUGUAACUACACCAUUCAAUUCAAACCUUUUCAUCUUCAUCCUUUUUAUAUCAUCUUCCUUUCAUUAUCAUUCAUGUUCCAAAGGAGUGAUUCACUUUAAUAGAUUCCAAACAUAAUCUGUCCUGAUUGUCAGUCGCCUGACUUUUCACUCUGGAUUUGAACCUGAUUUAUAAAGUGGUAUCAACCAGGAAAAGCACAAAACCAUGGACAAAAUUAGACCGAUCUGGACGAUUCCAUGAUGAUUUUGUACAUUAAUAGGGAAAGAUUUUGACUAUCGCUUGGAAAUUUUUCCAUGAUAAGGAUCAAAUAGCUUGUUUCGCAUUGAUUAUGGAUGUAAAGCACUUGAUAAAGUCGGUGUAAUAUGUUCAAGAGGCGACUUCAUUGUCUUCCCAUUCAAAAGUACAUUUUUUGAUUGAAGCUUUCUGAUGAACUGAUUAGAUUAUUCGGUUUGAUUAAUUUACACAUUGUAUCUAUUUGCGACUCAAUGCAUCUUUAGUUCAACAUUGG